UUAGGAAUCUUCCACAAUGGGCGAAAGCCUGAUGGAGCGACGCCGCGUGAGGGAUGAAGGCCUUAGGGUUGUAAACCUCUAAAAGAGGGACGAUAAUGACGGUACCUCUUGAAUAGCACCGGCUAACUCCGUGCCAGCAGCCGCGGUAAUACGGAGGGUGCAAGCGUUAUCCGGAAUCACUGGGCGUAAAGGGCGCGUAGGCGGUCUGUUAAGUCCGAUGUUAAAUCCCGGGGCUCAACCCCGGAUAAGCGUUGGAUACUGGCAGGCUAGACGGUUGGAGAGGCGAGUGGAAUUACCAGUGUAGCGGUGGAAUGCGUAGAUACUGGUAGGAACACCCAUUGCGAAGGCAGCUCGCUGGACAACACGUGACGCUGAGGUGCGAAAGUGUGGGGAGCAAACC
rnacentral:rRNA from 1 species